UACGAAGGGGGCUAGCGUUGUUCGGAUUUACUGGGCGUAAAGCGCACGUAGGCGGAUCUUUAAGUCAGAGGUGAAAUCCCAAGGCUCAACCUUGGAACUGCCUUUGAUACUGGGGAUCUUGAGUCCGGGAGAGGUGAGUGGAACUGCGAGUGUAGAGGUGAAAUUCGUAGAUAUUCGCAAGAACACCAGUGGCGAAGGCGGCUCACUGGCCCGGUACUGACGCUGAGGUGCGAAAGCGUGGGGAGCAAACAGGA
rnacentral:rRNA from 1 species